GUUCAUAUUUUACGUUAAAAAUGUUCGUUUUAGUACAUUAUAUGUGUUGGUGUGAAUCAUAGUGAUAAAUGAUUGUGUUUAGUGUGUCAUGCAAGUGAAAUUAACCUACGUGUUGUGUAGUUUGACGUAAGAUUUCAUUGUUAAUCUUAGGUUAUGCUUGAAUAUAUUUUAAGUGUUAUUGUGUUAUUGGAUUUAGGAUCUUGUUCUCAACAAAGAAACUCGGCAAGAGGUUCGAGGGAGAGAAAAGGAUAUACUUAGCAACUGAGGUAAAGGCAAAACUAUACAGUGAGGGUGGCGAGCUCGAGGCAUGGAUUACAUGUUAGGGGAUUGUCACGAUGUUUUGGUUUAAAAAUAUUUCAUUUAAGAUUAUGAUUCAAAUAGUUUUUGUAAGGCUUUAUAUUUUAAAGUUAUGAAUAAAUAAAUGUUUUGUUUUAAAAAUAA